rnacentral:lncRNA from 1 species
GAUGAGAUGUGAUGGUGAUGGGUCGAACCAAAAAAGAUGAGGCGGGAUCGGCGGCUUUUGUGGACACGACGGUGAUGGGAGCAAAGAUGAUGACGAUGAGGGAGGGGAAGAGGUUGAGAGGUGUAUAGGAAAAAAGGUAGGCGGAGAGAGAAAUUGUGGAUAUAGAGUAAAGAAAGGGUUAAAAAAAUGAGAGAAAGAGAGAGAGAGAGAGAGAGAGAGAGAGAUGAGGUAGGUCUCACUAUUUUCAUGGAAUGCGAAGAGUCUCACUAUUUUCAAAGUUGCCAAUUGUAAGUUUAUAAAUUUUAUGGAUAAGACAAAUAUUUUGUUCUUUUUAGUAACGAGAUAUCCAAAUCAAUUCAUUUAAAAAUGAUCUAAUAUAUUUAAAUUAUCUAAAAAUAUAAAUUUUUAUUUUUUAAUAUUAUUUACCAAACUAUCAAAAAUUUUAGACAUAGAUAUCAUUUUGUAAUAUUCCGAACUCACCAUAACUCGUCGGUGAUGAGAUCGCUUUGAGACGCAGAUAGCGGUCGGGAAGAUGGUGCGGCUCGAAUUAGGGGAUUUGAGGUAAUUGAGUCAGAGAAAGACAGAAGAAGAGGAAUAAAGUGAAGAGAGAGAGAGAGAAUAGAGAAGUGAGGAUUGAGAAUAGAGUAGAGAGAGAUCAGUUUGGGAGAUUGGAGAGAUGAGGGGAUAAAGAAUAGAGGAGAGAGAAGAAGAUGAGAAACUCGAGAAGAAUAUAACAGUUUUUUUACCUUCAUUAGUUACACUUUGCUGUAUAUCUAUAAGUAUAAUAAAAGUUGGGUUAAAUCGAAGCCUCCCUGUGUUUGGCGGGGAGGGGGGGCUUCGGUGGGGCCCUCAUUUUUUUUCUCUCUCUUUCACUCUCUCUCUCUCUCUUACUUUCUUUUUUUUAUUUUUUUCCUCUCUCUCACUCUCUCUCUCUUACUUUCUUUUUUUUUUUCUCUCUCACUCUCUCUUUCUUACUUUCUUUUUUUUAUUUUUUUCUCUCUCAACAUUUUUUUAUUUUUUGCCUACAUCAAUUGUAAAAUUUUAUCGUAUGGAUCAAUUCUAUGUUUUAAUAGUCAAUAUAAAAAAAUUAAAUUUUUAUCUACUAAAUAUCAACAGUUUUUCUUUUUUAUUUUUAUUUAUAUCAAAUGUAAAAUUUUAUCAUAUAGAUCAAUUCUAUUUUUUAAUUGUUAAGAUAACAAAAUUAAAAUUUCAUCUAAUUGGGAACCCAAGUUCCUAUGGGGCCCAAAAAUUUUUUUAAGGAUCUUUUUAGGAUUAAUUGCAUAGUGCUGCCCAAACUUUUCACCCUUUUUUUAUUUUUGUUCCUUUUUUUUUUUGCAAUUAAGCUUUCAAACCUCUUAAAAAUCCUUGCGAUAAAAUAACAACCAUUAAAAAAUAUUUUAGAAUUAUCGAAAUUAUCAUGCCAUCGCCUAUUUAACGGUUUUUUUCAUGCCAAUUUUGAUCCCUAAAUUUUAUAUGCUUUUCACUUUAGUUCCCAAAACAUAUAUGAAUUGAUAACCCUAAAGAAGGCCUCUCCUUAUUUUGGAGGAUUGUGGGGCCCACACAUGUAAGGACUGAGAUUUUUACAGUGCAACUAAACUCUCUGUUGAUGAUGUUUAUGUGUAUAAUUUAAUUACAUAAGCACUCGUCAAGUUUCAGGAGAAAAUGAGCUAAAAUGGAGAAGUUACGUGAUUAUUAGUUUUCACUUCAGUGAAUAGUAACUCCGGUUUUUCGGUGAAGCCACGGAGUAGAGUUGGCUUUCUACACGUAUCGGACUCCGUUCAUAGCGAUCCAAUAGCUCGUUUCGACCGGUUCAGCUAUUCUGGAACUACUGGCGCUGACAGAUUUUGAGUUUGAUGCACGGAUUUCGAGAAAAUCCAAAAAUACAUGUUUUAUAUGUAUUUAUGUGUUAUUCCUUCUAUUGGAAAGAAAGAUUGGAUUUUGUCGUGAAUCCGUGGUCGAUCGUGGUGAAACGAAAUGGUAGCUUUGUUGUCUCCGUCGUGCUGAUCACACUGGUGCAAUCCAUUCGCAAAACUGACGGACGGAUCUGCGGAGAUCGCACGUUGAUCGAGGAGAGGUCGGUAAUGGUAAAAUGGUAAUUUCGCAAAAGUCGAGAUAUUUUAUGUACCAUUUCGCGUGAGAUCGCAUGUGGAGGGGUAUUCGUG